AGUGAACGCUGGCGGUAGGCCUAACACAUGCAAGUCGAACGGCAGCACAGUAAGCGUUGCUCUUACGGGUGGCGAGUGGCCGACGGGUGAGGAAUACAUCGGAAUCUACUUUUUCGUGGGGGAUAACGGAGGGAAACUUACGCUAAUACCGCAUACUACCUACGGGUGAAAGCAGAGGAUCUUCGAACCUUUUGCGAUUGAAUGAGCCGAUGUCGGAUUAGCUAGUUGGCGGGGUAAAGGCACACCAAGGCGACGAUCCGUAGCUGGUCUGAGAGGAUGAUCAGCCACACUGGAACUGAGACACGGUCCAGACUCCUACGGGAGGCAGCAGUGGGGAAUAUUGGGCAAUGGGCGCAAGCCUGAUCCAGCCAUACCGCGUGGGUGAAGAAGGCCUUCGGGUUGUAAAGCCCUUUUGUUGGGAAAGAAAAGCAGCAGGUUAAUACCCCGCUGUUCUGACGGUACCCAAAGAAUAAGCACCGGCUAACUUCGUG
rnacentral:rRNA from 1 species